rnacentral:rRNA from 1 species
AAGGAAUUUUCGGCAAUGGGCGCAAGCCUGACCGAGCAACGCCGCGUGCGGGAUGACGGCCUUCGGGUUGUAAACCGCUUUUCUAGGGGAAGAAUCAGACGGUACCCUGGGAAUCAGCCCCGGCUAACUCUGUGCCAGCAGCCGCGGUAAUACAGAGGGGGCAAGCGUUGUCCGGAUUGACUGGGCGUAAAGCGCACGUAGGUGGUUGGGUACGUGGUGUGUGAAAGCUCAGGGCUUAACCCUGAUAGGCCAUGCCAAACGACCCGACUUGAGGCUGAGCAGAGGCGGGUGGAAUUGCCGGUGUAGUGGUGAAAUGCGUAGAGAUCGGCAGGAACACCAAGGGGGAACCCAGCCCGCUGGGCCAGUCCUGACACUGAGGUGCGACAGCGUGGGGAGCGAA